GACAGAGGGGGCAAGCGUUGUCCGGAUUUACUGGGCGUACAGCGCGCGCAGGCGGUGGUGUAGGUACCUGGUGACAGUCUCGGGCUCAACUCGAGGGGGUCUAGAUAGACCGCACCGCUGGAGGCAGGGAGAAGGAUGUGGAAUACCCGGUGGAGCGGUGAAAUGCGUAGAGAUCGGAUGGAACACCAGUGGCGAAAGCGGCAUCCUGGCCCUGACCUGACGCUGAGACGCGAGAGCGUGGGGAGCAAACGGG
rnacentral:rRNA from 1 species